rnacentral:rRNA from 1 species
ACGUAGGAGACAAACGUUAUCCGGAGUUACUGGGCGUAAAGGGCGUGCAGGCGGUUUCUUAAGUUCGUCGUGAAAUCGCCCGGCUUAACCGGGCGGGGUCGAUGGAUACUGGGAGACUUGAGGGCGGUAGAGGCGUGUGGAAUUCCGGGUGUAGUGGUGAAAUGCGUAGAUAUCCGGAGGAACACCAGUGGCGAAGGCGACACGCUGGGCCGUACCUGACGCUAAGACGCGACAGCAUGGGGAGCGAACGGGA